rnacentral:rRNA from 1 species
UACGUAGGUGGCAAGCGUUGUCCGGAUUUACUGGGCGUAAAGGGCGUGCAGGCGGUCUGUUAAGUCUAGGGUGAAAGCUCCCGGCUCAACUGGGAGAGGUCCUUGGAUACUGGCGGACUUGAGGGAGGCAGAGGAGUAUGGAAUUCCCGGUGUAGUGGUGAUAUGCGUAGAUAUCGGGAGGAACACCAGUGGCGAAGGCGGUACUCUGGGCCUUACUUGACGCUGAGACGCGAAAGCGUGGGGAGCGAACCGG